rnacentral:rRNA from 1 species
GUUAAAUGGAUAACUGUAAUAACUCUAGAGCUAAUACAUGCCAUGAUGCCCUGACCCUAUCCACUCGCUGGCUGGGGAAUGGGUGCACUUAUUAGAUCAGAAGCCAACCAGUGCAUGCGUUCGAGCCCUUUCCGGGGUGAGAUCGUGUGGGCUGUAGUACUUCUGGUGACUCUGGAUAAUUGUUACAGAUCGCAGUCGACCUUGAGUCGGCGACGGGUCCUUCAAAUGUCUGCCCUAUCAACUUUCGAUGGUAGGUGACCUGCCUACCAUGGUGAUAACGGGUAACGGGGAAUCAGGGUUCGAUUCCGGAGAGGGAGCCUGAGAAACGGCUACCACUUCCAAGGGAGGCAGCAGGCGCGCAAAUUACCCACUCCCAGUACGGGGAGGUGGUGACGAAAAAUACCGAUGCGGGACUCAUUUAAGAGGCUCCGUAAUCGGAAUGAGUGGACUCUAAAUCCUUUCACGAGGAUCAAUUGGAGGGCAAGUCUGGUGCCAGCAGCCGCGGUAACUCCAGCUCCAAUAGCGUAUAUUAAAGUUGCUGCAGUUAAAAAGCUCGUAGUUGGAUCUCGGUAGCAUUGUUGCCUGCAUAGUACUUAACCGUCAGUGUGUGCGUCGUAUUGUGUGCACGUGUGUGUGUGUGUGUGUGUGCGGUGCUCUGCUCGGCUUUGUCUACCUGCGUUGCCUACCUACUGCGCGUUUUCAUACGCCUGUGUAGUGUAAUGUUGGAAAUU